GAUACAUCGGCUUGGAAUGUGACAUUUUCCUUACUAGUUUUGUCCGGUGCUUCUGUUACAUAUUUCAAUGUGACAACGCUUUUGACUACUGGGGUAAAGGCACAUCAGUGACCGUCUCAGCAGGAGGCUCAUCGGUACGGCGUCCAUCUUCGGACUUUCGCAGUGUGGCUCUGACUCCAAUGGACUGGUCCACUCUUGGUUGCAUGACGGGGGGAUUCUCGCCAGCAAACUCCCUGAAGUAUAAGUGGAAAGAUGCACAAGGCAAAGACCUCUCUGACUUCAUACAGUACCCAGACGUCCAUAAAGAUGGCAAAUAUUCCAAAAUCAGCCAGAUUAGUGUCCCGCUGGCAGACUGGGAAAGCACGGGAAAUCGUUCACAUUGUGAAUUGGAGAGGAAGUCCUGCAAAGUCCAAAAGAAGGCGAUGGACAAGCAGGAAAUGGCCAGUUGGUACAGCUUUACUUCCACAGUGAAUGGCACUAACUUUGCUACCAGCUACCUGCAAGUUCCAGAGAAUAUGUGGAAACAUCGAGACACAAAAAUCACAUGCAUCUCCGAGCAUAAGACCGGACAGAAAUCCAGAUCAGUGGGAUAUCAGUUUGGGACGGGUGACUGCGAUGAAGAUGCUGCUGAAGUGAAGGCUGACAUCAUAGGUCCCUCUUCCGAGGAUCUUCUUGUUCGUAAGGAGGGCUGGGUUCAGUGCAAAUUCAACGGUGACACUGCAGACGUUACGAAAGAAGGUAUAGAAUGGAGGAAAGAUGGCAAACCAACUGUGUGGAACGAGCAAGAAGGCCUUCUGGAAGAAUCUGGCAGCAUCACCAUCAAGCUUAAAAUCAAAUUUGAAGAAUGGCAGAAUGGAGGAGAGCACGUUAAGCCCUCCGUCUUCCUAAUGCCACCCCCAGAGCGUGAGCUCAGCGAAUACAUGACCCUAACUUGUUACGCCAAAGAUUUCCACCCCAAGGAGGUGUUUGUGUCUUGGCUUGCUGAUGAUGAGCCAGUGGCAGAUCAGUACACAUGGAACAUCACCAGUGUAAUGCAUACUGGCAAUGGAAAAUACUCGGUGUACAGCCAGCUUACCGUCAGUGCAUACGACUGGGAGAACGUGGUGUUUAGCUGUGUUGUGUACCAUGAGGCCAGUGAGGCCAGUGUCCAAAUGAUCUCCAGGUCCAUUGACAAGGCCUCCCAGAAGCACAGCAUAGUCAAUCUAAGCAUGAAUCUUCCACAGUGCAAGAGCAUCUGAUGUGUCAAUGCGUGUGUUUGUGUGUGUGUGUCUGCACGUAGGUGUCACUCUUGUGUUCUUGCGUGCUUGAUUCCACGUGAAUUAAAAGGACGUUUGUGAUUGUGUAAUAUUGUGUGCUUCCCAUUUGCUUGUGUGUGUGCUGUUCCCCUCGUUUGCAAAAAUCAAAUUGAAAGCAAUAAAAAAAGCAUGUCAUUA